rnacentral:lncRNA from 1 species
AUAAAUGAUAUAUUCUUCAAUUAUUACAUUGACAACAAAGCCAUAUUGACCAUCUAGAUUCUCUAUUAAUGACUAAUCCCCUAAAAUGCAUGCAUAUCGACCACUUUUGGCAUAAGCGGAAAGCAUGUAUAUAAGUCAAGGCUGGGUGAGUUAAAACUCCAAUUGCAACUUAGAUAUCCUUCCAUGCAUAGACCCAAAUUCAUCCUACAAAUACUCCAGUCUUG